CCUACGGGAGGCAGCAGUGGGGAAUAUUGGGCAAUGGGCGCAAGCCUGACCCAGCAACGCCGCGUGAAGGAAGAAGGCCCCCGGGUUGUAAACUUCUUUUAUCAAGGACGAAACAAAUGACUGUACAUGAUGAAUAAGCCACGUCUAACUACGUGCCAGCAGCCGCGGUAAUACGGCGGUGGCAAGCGUUAUCCGGAUUUGCUGGGUAUACAGGGCGUGUGGGCGGGACGGCAAGUCAGGGGUGAAAGCCAGGGGCUCAACCCAGGGCCGGCGUUUGAAACGGUAGUUCUUGGGUGUUGGGGAGGAAGGCGGAAUUCCGGGUGUAGCGGGGAAAUGCGUAGAUAUGCGGAGGAACACGAGUGGCGAAGGAGGACUGCUGGACAAUAACUGACGCUGGGGCGCGAAAGCGUGGGGAGCAACCAGGAUUAGAUACCUGGUAGUC
rnacentral:rRNA from 1 species